UGAUAUAGCCAUGAUAUCAGACCAUCAGUGUUUGGCAAAGCAGUUUGGCUCGUUUCAUUUUAAUGCAUCAUAAGAAGUAUAACCAGCAGACCUCAGAGGCUCGUCUCUCACAAGCUGAACAUCAGAGAUACUGAGCAGAAGCUUUCAGGAGAGACGAGGUCUGCUGCAGAACAUAACGUCCUGUUGGAAGAACACUGACAUGAAUACGUGUCUGAAAGGUCUGGUGUUACAGACUCAGGAGCAAACAGGUGGAGACCAGCUGUCGCUCGUCUCUAUGAAACAGAACCACACGCUUGUUGACCUGAGACUCGGCGAUGUCGGCUCUCUCCUGCGCCUCCUCCAUCUCGUGCUGCACCUUCCUGUACCUGGACAGGUCUCGGCCUUCUUUCCUCCAGCCACCGCGAUUGUCGCAAAGUACUGGAUGACCCGUUUGGUGUUGACUGUCUUUCCUGCACCAGAUUCUCCGCUUGGAUGAACAAAAGACAAAUGUAAGUUAGCAGAUGACACAUCUCUUACGCAGGUUAACAUAAUAUCUUUGACACAGAGUUACAUUCAUUUACAUUCACUUACGUGAUGAGGAUUGACUGAUUGUCACGGUCUGUAAAAAAAACAUUUUUGUUUUAGUUUAGUGAUUUUCUGCUUUGUGCACAUUAUUGAUUCCAUAAUUUGCAACAACUACACACCAAUGAUGUGGAGUACUACAAAUAUAAAAGACAAAAUGCUGCUACUUGCUUUAUAAGCAUUUAAAAGCACAAAACACUGUAAUAGUAUAUAUAUAUAUACGGAUAUAAUGUAAUAGUCGCUCUCUUUUCUCAUGAUUUCACACACCAGUGAGCAUGAACUGAUAGGCGUUGUCAGAGAUGGAGAAGAUGUGGGGAGGAGCCUCAAUCCUCUUUUUGCCUCUGUAUCCGGCCACAACCACGGCAUCGUACACUGGGAGCCACUUGUAGGGGUUCACAGUCACGCAGAACAGUCCCGAGUAGGUCUGUGAAGAGGGAAAGGAUUUUUACUGAGCUCUUUUUGUUUUGUCCUGGUCUUUGUUUCGUGGGCGCAGUGCUCACGUAGAUCAUCCAUGCUGCGUAGCGCUCUUUGAGGUUGUACAGCACAGAAGGCUCACUCAGGUAGGUCAUCAUGGCCAUGUCCUCAAUCUUGUCGUACUUUGGAGGGUUCAUGGGAAAGAUUUCGGUGUCUUUCACAGUGAGCGUCUGUUUGACAAGGACACAAGAGGCACAAAAAUAAUAUUAGUUUGUGUAGAGAAGGAGAGAAAAGAAAAAGAACAUCAGUCUUUACUGAGGGUCUGAGGGUGAGAGCAAGCUGGUCAGUAUUUAUUACAUCUAUUUCAGACAGAGGAAUUAUAAAACCAAACAAAUAUAUCUAACAUAUUCUUAUUAGGGCCGGGACUUUAGCGCGUUAAUUACGAUUAAUUAAUUACAAUGUGAAUAAAGAUUAAUUAAUUACACAAAAAAUAACACAUUAAACAUUUUUUACGCAUUUCUACACUUAUUUUUUGCACCGCGGAACGUUUCUCACUGGAUGAGUUUUACGGAGGACCGAUUAAACUGGAGCACCAACUAGCGUCCAUGACUUCAGACAACAACAAACCACAGUGAACAUGAACGAAGAAGCUGACGAGACCGUGUCGGGUGGCCCCGUGAAUGGGAAAUCUUCUUAUAAUAAACACACGGAUGGAAGCGUCGAUAAGAGCGUGGUUGUGUGCAAGCUGUGCAACAAGGAAUUCACAUCGAGCCUCAAGUAUCACCUCAACGCACAACAAUUAGCAGCUAGCGUGGACGUACAAGGACCCACACCCAACCCACACUGCACCAGAUGACUGGUUUAAGGACCAGGGUAACUAAGUCCACGUCUGAAAAAAUACCCAAUGUUCUGAAUGUACUUGAAAGUUUUGGUCUACUUUUAAAAAACAUAGUUUACAGAAGGUCUACUUACCUAUAGGCUACCUGAAUUUCUGAAAGUACUAUAUUUCUAAAUAUGCUAUUGCUACACUGGAAUAGGUUGAAUAAAAAUCCAAGCGAAAAAAUGACUUCUCACUGUUCUCAGGUCAAAUAUUUGUAUGUAUUAUAUAUGCGAUUAAUUUCGAUUAAUUAAUUACAAAGCCACUAAUUAAUUAGAUUAAUAUUUUUAAUCGAGUCCCGGCCCUAAUUCUUAUCUUCUCUUUUUGGGUUUAUUACAGAUUUCUUAUGGUGCUGAAUAUGUUUUGUUGUCUUACAAGACAUGCACUUGCAACUGAGCAAUUCAAAUUCCUUAACUGUUGGUUUUAUUCCACUCACCUUCCCACACUGAGUCUCCACGGUGGCUUUGCCGCCCUCUUUCUUUAAAAGUUUCCCCUUGAGGUACAUCUCUGCCGGCUCGCUCACAAAGUAGGACGUUUUGGCAUCAAAGGGAGUGUUUUGAGCUUCUAUUCUCUCCCUUUCAGAUUUCCGCAGGUAAAGGGCUGCCGGCCCGAAACACUGCAUUUCACCGUCGGUACUCAUGGUGACCCCUCACUGCAAGUGGAUUAGAAACAGGACAGCUGUGAUUUAUUUCAGGGAUGAUUCGUAUUACAUCUUAUGAUGGUGCUCCAAUACUGAGCAAAGCUGUUAAUGUUUAUGAAUGUUAAACACAGAUGAUGAACAGAAGGAAGUGGCCAAUGGAAAAACUUAUACACACAAAAGCAGUUAAAGGUUUGUGACUACAAGGUGACAUCCUGUUAAAUUAAACUGUAUAACUUGUUUCAUGCUCCAUUAAUUGCUUGUGUAAAACACUGCGAUAAAGGUAACAAUCUUUCUACCCUCUAAUAAAGCAGUCAAUCAAAGUGAUUAAUUCAUUGAUUUGCUAAUGCUUCAAUGAAUAUAUAACUAAAUCUGACUCACAAAAUAUCUACUGAUUAUACAUCUAAUAUAACAAAAUAUGACGGCAGUAAAAUGAAUGAAUUACCUUCUUCCCUCCUCUCAGGUGAACAGGUGUGAUGAUGGACUAGGGAUGAUUCUGAAGAAAGACACAAAUGAUGUGUAUUAAUAUCAGUAAUAAGUAAACUAAUGAACUUACUUUACACUGAAGUCCUGGCACAAACGAGACCAUUCUGUUUGGAAAUCUGUGAUCAUGCCCUGCAUUGUUCAUUAAGCUGCUGGUUUUUCCUCCUGCUAAUAAAAGACUGCAGCACUCACCUUGA